rnacentral:rRNA from 1 species
AAGAUAGUGGCGAACGGGUGAGUAACACGUGGGUAACCUGCCCAUAAGAGGGGGAUAACAUCCGGAAACGGGUGCUAAUACCGCAUAGUUUCUUGAUCGCAUGAUUGAGAAAGGAAAGACGGCCUUUGUGCUGUCGCUUAUGGAUGGACCCGCGGCGUAUUAGUUAGUUGGUGAGGUAACGGCUUACCAAGACGAUGAUACGUAGCCGACCUGAGAGGGUGAUCGGCCACAUUGGGACUGAGACACGGCCCAAACUCCUACGGGAGGCAGCAGUAGGGAAUCUUCCGCAAUGGACGAAAGUCUGACGGAGCAACGCCGCGUGAGUGAAGAAAGGUUUUCGGAUCGUAAAACUCUGUUGUCAGAGAAGAACAAGUUGGAGAGUAACUGCUCCAGCCUUGACGGUAUCUGACCAGAAAGCCACGGCUAACUACGUGCCAGCCGCCGC